rnacentral:rRNA from 1 species
ACAUGCAAGUCGAGCGAACGGACGAGAAGCUUGCUUCUCUGAUGUUAGCGGCGGACGGGUGAGUAACACGUGGAUAACCUACCUAUAAGACUGGGAUAACUUCGGGAAACCGGAGCUAAUACCGGAUAAUAUUUUGAACCGCAUGGUUCAAAAGUGAAAGACGGUCUUGCUGUCACUUAUAGAUGGAUCCGCGCUGCAUUAGCUAGUUGGUAAGGUAACGGCUUACCAAGGCAACGAUGCAUAGCCGACCUGAGAGGGUGAUCGGCCACACUGGAACUGAGACACGGUCCAGACUCCUACGGGAGGCAGCAGUAGGGAAUCUUCCGCAAUGGGCGAAAGCCUGACGGAGCAACGCCGCGUGAGUGAUGAAGGUCUUCGGAUCGUAAAACUCUGUUAUUAGGGAAGAACAUAUGUGUAAGUAACUGUGCACAUCUUGACGGUACCUAAUCAGAAAGCCACGGCUAACUACGUGCCAGCAGCCGCGGUAAUACGUAGGUGGCAAGCGUUAUCCGGAAUUAUUGGGCGUAAAGCGCGCGUAGGCGGUUUUUUAAGUCUGAUGUGAAAGCCCACGGCUCAACCGUGGAGGGUCAUUGGAAACUGGAAAACUUGAGUGCAGAAGAGGAAAGUGGAAUUCCAUGUGUAGCGGUGAAAUGCGCAGAGAUAUGGAGGAACACCAGUGGCGAAGGCGACUUUCUGGUCUGUAACUGACGCUGAUGUGCGAAAGCGUGGGGAUCAAACAGGAUUAGAUACCCUGGUAGUCCACGCCGUAAACGAUGAGUGCUAAGUGUUAGGGGGUUUCCGCCCCUUAGUGCUGCAGCUAACGCAUUAAGCACUCCGCCUGGGGAGUACGACCGCAAGGUUGAAACUCAAAGGAAUUGACGGGGACCCGCACAAGCGGUGGAGCAUGUGGUUUAAUUCGAAGCAACGCGAAGAACCUUACCAAAUCUUGACAUCCUUUGACAACUCUAGAGAUAGAGCCUUCCCCUUCGGGGGACAAAGUGACAGGUGGUGCAUGGUUGUCGUCAGCUCGUGUCGUGAGAUGUUGGGUUAAGUCCCGCAACGAGCGCAACCCUUAAGCUUAGUUGCCAUCAUUAAGUUGGGCACUCUAAGUUGACUGCCGGUGACAAACCGGAGGAAGGUGGGGAUGACGUCAAAUCAUCAUGCCCCUUAUGAUUUGGGCUACACACGUGCUACAAUGGACAAUACAAAGGGCAGCGAAACCGCGAGGUCAAGCAAAUCCCAUAAAGUUGUUCUCAGUUCGGAUUGUAGUCUGCAACUCGACUACAUGAAGCUGGAAUCGCUAGUAAUCGUAGAUCAGCAUGCUACGGUGAAUACGUUCCCGGGUCUUGUACACACCGCCCGUCACACCACGAGAGUUUGUAACACCCGAAGCCGGUGGAGUAACCUUUUAGGAGCUAGCCGUCGAAGGUGGGACAAAUGAUUGGGGUGAAGUCGUAACAAGGUAGCCGUAUCGGAAGGUGCGGCUGGAUCACC